rnacentral:lncRNA from 1 species
AUUCAUACCAUUAAACAUUAUCUAGAGCAUUUAAAACUUCUAGAAAUUAAAUUUUAUAAUUUUUCGAUAUCAUUUACCUUACAAUCAAAAGCUCACAAAAUUGACAAUUUUUAACGGUCGGUAUGAGAUAUUUGCUAGUUUAACGGUGAAAACGAUUCGAAAUAGUUUGAAUUUUUGAUAGAAAAUUCUAUUUACUACCUAAAUAAAGAUCAAUAACUCUGAUCUUAAAUUGAAGAAUCCGAUCAUCCAUUUUUACGAUGUUCGAUUUUGACCAUUCAUUUUAUUUUGCCCGCUUGAUGGACUUUAUUAUGAGUUUGAAAAAUUACGAAAUUUAUUUUCUAAAAGUUUCAAAUACUCUAGAUCAUAUUUAACAGAGUGGAUCGUUAAUUCGGAACCUCCAUCAUCGUAAACAACUUAUAAGUACGAAGGCCCCAAUACUCAUAAGAGUAUA